AGUGAACGCUGGCGGUAGGCCUAACACAUGCAAGUCGAACGGCAGCACAGGAGAGCUUGCUCUCUGGGUGGCGAGUGGCGGACGGGUGAGGAAUACAUCGGAAUCUACUCUGUCGUGGGGGAUAACGUAGGGAAACUUACGCUAAUACCGCAUACGACCUACGGGUGAAAGCAGGGGACCUUCGGGCCUUGCGCGAUUGAAUGAGCCGAUGUCGGAUUAGCUAGUUGGCGGGGUAAAGGCCCACCAAGGCGACGAUCCGUAGCUGGUCUGAGAGGAUGAUCAGCCACACUGGAACUGAUACACGGUCCAGACUCCUACGGGAGUCAGCAGUGGGGAAUAUUGGACAAUGGGCGCAAGCCUGAUCCAGCCAUACCGCGUGGGUGAAGAAGGCCUUCGGGUUGUAAAGCCCUUUUGUUGGGAAAGAAAUCCAGCUGGCUAAUACCCGGUUGGGAUGACGGUACCCAAAGAAUAAGCACCGGCUAACUUCGUGCCAGCCGCCGCAGUAA
rnacentral:rRNA from 1 species